GUGGGGAAUUUUGGACAAUGGGCGCAAGCCUGAUCCAGCAAUGCCGCGUGCAGGAAGAAGGCCUUCGGGUUGUAAACUGCUUUUGUACGGAACGAAACGGUCCGGGUUAAUACCCUGGGCUAAUGACGGUACCGUAAGAAUAAGCACCGGCUAACUACGUGCCAGCAGCCGCGGUAAUACGUAGGGUGCAAGCGUUAAUCGGAAUUACUGGGCGUAAAGCGUGCGCAGGCGGUUUUGUAAGACAGGCGUGAAAUCCCCGGGCUCAACCUGGGGAUUGCGCUGAUGACUGCAAGGCUGGAGUGCGGCAGAGGGGGAUGGAAUUCCGCGUGUAGCAGUGAAAUGCAUAGAUAUGCUGAGGAACACCGAUGGCGAAGGCAAUCCCCUGGGCCUGCACUGACGCUCAUGCACGAAAGCGUGGGGAGCAAACAGGAUUAGAUACCCCUGUAGUCC
rnacentral:rRNA from 1 species